rnacentral:rRNA from 1 species
CGGACGGGUGAGUAACGCGUGAGAACCUACCUUUUGGAGAGGGAUAACCAUUGGAAACGAUGGCUAAUACCUCGUAUUGCUGAGAAGUGAAAGAUGAAUAUCGCCAAAAGAUGGGCUUGCGGCUGAUUAGCUUGUUGGUGGGGUAAUGGCUUACCAAGGCGAUGAUCAGUAGCUGGUCUGAGAGGAUGAUCAGCCACGCUGGGACUGAGACACGGCCCAGACUCCUACGGGAGGCAGCAGUGAGGAGUUUUCCGCAAUGGGCGACAGCCUGACGGAGCAAUGCCGCGUGAAGGAUGAAAGCCUAUGGGUUGUAAACUUCUUUUCUCAGAGAAGAAUUCUUGACGGUAUCUGAGGAAUAAGCAUCGGCUAACUCUGUGCCAGCAGCCGCGGUAAGACAGAGGAUGCAAGCGUUAUCCGGAAUGAUUGGGCGUAAAGCGUCUGUAGGUGGCUUAAAAAGUCUUCUGUUAAAGAUCAGGGCUUAACCCUGAGCCGGCAGGAGAAACUCUUAGGCUAGAGUUUGGUAGGGGCAGAGGGAAUUCCCGGUGGAGCGGUGAAAUGCGUAGAGAUCGGGAGGAACACC